UUCUAGACACCACAAGAAAAAUGGCUUCUAAAAAGGUGAGCGCCCUUUGCAUAAUAGCCUCCCUCCUUAUCAUCUCCUUCACUCUCACCAAUGCCAUCCGACCAGAGCCGGCCUCCGCCGGUGUUAAUCCGGCGAAAAUCGGAGACGGGGAUUUUGAUCAAGCAGAGAAGGUUGAGGUUGAUGAAGAUAGCUGUGAAGGAGUAGGGGAAGAAGACUGCUUGAUGAGAAGAACACUUGCGGCUCACAUUGAUUAUAUCUAUACCCAGAAAAACAAGCCAUGAAAAUUAAUUAAAAUUUGAUUUAAUUAGCUUUAUGUUCUUGAUUAUUUUCAUUGAUAUCUCUCAUAUUGUAGGUAUUUUUUUUGUGUUUGUUAUAUAUAAAUUUCAUGUAUAUAAAUAGAACAGCCACAAUUUUCAUUGUUAAUUUCAGGUCUCUGGUAUAGUUUUGUUUGGUAUAUUUUCAUU
rnacentral:misc_RNA from 1 species